rnacentral:rRNA from 1 species
UACGGAAGGCAGCAGGGGGAAUAUUGCACAAUGGGCGAAAGCCUGAUGCAGCUAUGCCGCGUGUAUGAAGAAGGCCUUAGGGUUGUAAAGUACUUUCAUCGGGGAGGAAAAACAAAACUAAUAAUUUUAUUUCUUGACGUUACCCGAAAAAGAAGCACCGGCUAACUCCGUGCCAGCAGCCGCGGUAAUACGGAGGGUGCUAGCGUUAAUCAGAAUUACUGGGCGUAAAGAGCACGUAGGUGGUUUUUUUAAAGUCAGAUGUGAAAUCCCUGGGCUUAACCUGGAACUGCAUUUUGAAACUGAAAUACUAGAGUAUCGUAGAGGGAGGUAGAAUUCUAGGUGUAGCGGUGAAAUGCGUAGAUAUCUGGAGGAAUACCUGUGGCGAAAGCGGCCUCCUAAACGAAUACUGACACUGAGGUGCGAAAGCGUGGGGAGCAAACAGGGAUUAGAUACCCGU